rnacentral:rRNA from 1 species
GACGAACGCUGGCGGCGUGCUUAACACAUGCAAGUCGAACGGCAAGGCCCUGCUUUUGUGGGGUGCUCGAGUGGCGAACGCGUGAGUAACACGUGAGUAACCUGCCCUUGACUUUGGGAUAACUUCAGGAAACUGGGGCUAAUACCGUAUAGGAGCUCCUGCUGCAUGGUGGGGGUUGGAAAGUUUCGGCGGUUGGGGAUGGACUCGCGGCUUAUCAGCUUGUUGGUGGGGUAGUGGCUUACCAAGGCUUUGACGGGUAGCCGGCCUGAGAGGGUGACCGGCGACAUUGGGACUGAGAUACGGCCCAGACUCCUACGGGAGGCAGCAGUGGGGAAUAUUGCACAAUGGGCGGAAGCCUGAUGCAGCAACGCCGCGUGCGGGAUGACGGCCUUCGGGUUGUAAACCGCUUUCGCCUGUGACGAAGCGUGAGUGACGGUAAUGGGUAAAGAAGCACCGGCUAACUACGUG